ACCCCAGCUCAGGCGAGGGUACCCACCGAGUUUAAGCAUAUCAAUAAGCGGAGGAAAAG
rnacentral:rRNA from 1 species